GAUGAACGCUGGCGGCGUGCCUAAUACAUGCAAGUCGAGCGAACAGAUGAGGAGCUUGCUCCUCUGACGUUAGCGGCGGACGGGUGAGUAACAUGUGGAUAACCUACAUAUAAGACUGGGAUAACUUCGGGAAACCGGAGCUAAUACCGGAUAAUAUAUUGAACCGCAUGGUUCAAUAGUGAAAGACGGUUUUGCUGUCACUUAUAGAUGGAUCCGCGCCGCAUUAGCUAGUUGGUAAGGUAACGGCUUACCAAGGCAACGAUGCGUAGCCGACCUGAGAGAGUGAUAGGCCACACUGGAACUGGAACACGGUCCAGACUCCUACGGGAGGAAGCAGUAGGGAAUCUUCCGCAAUAGGCGAAAGCCUGACGGAGCAACGCCGCGUGAGUGAUGAAGGUCUUCGGAUCGUAAAACUCUGUUAUUAGGGAUGAACAAAUGUGUAAGUAACUAUGCACGUCUUGACGGUACCUAAUCAGAAAGCCACGGCUAACUACGUG
rnacentral:rRNA from 1 species